rnacentral:misc_RNA from 1 species
GAUGAAGAACGUAGCGAAAUGCGAUACGUAAUGUGAAUUGCAGAAUUCAGUGAAUCAUCGAAUCUUUGAACGCAUAUUGCGCUCUUUGGUAUUCCGAAGAGCAUGCUUGUUUGAGUAUCAGUAAACACCUCAAAGCUUUUGGAUUUUUUAAUCGAAAAGCUUUGGACUUGAGCAAUCCCAACACCAAUCUUUUUGAGAUCGGUGGCGGGUUGCUUGAAAUGCAGGUGCAGCUGGACAUUCUCCUGAGCUAAAAGCAUAUUCAUUUAGUCCCGUCAAACGGAUUAUUACUUUUGCUGCAGCUAACAUAAAGGGAGUUUGACCGUAUUGGCUGACUGAUGCAGGAUUUCACAAGGGUCGGCAACGAUUCUUGUUAAACUCGAUCUCAAAUCAAGUAAGACUACCCGCUGAACUUAAGCAUACCAAUAAGCGGAGGA